rnacentral:rRNA from 1 species
AUACGGAGGGUGCAAGCGUUAUCCGGAAUUACUGGGUUUAAAGGAUGCGUAGCGGGCUAAUAAGUCAGAAGUGAAAGCUCACGGCUCAACUGUGGAAUUGCUUUUUGAUACUGUUAGUCUUGAAUUAGGUUGAGGUUGGCGGAAUGAGUCAUGUAGCGGUGAAAUGCAUAGAUAUGACUUAGAACACCAACUGCGAAGGCAGCUGACUAGACCUUAAUUGACG